CUCUUUCCAUUUCUCCACCCUCCUCAUUUCCUUAUCUCUUUCCACCGCCUGGAGAUAUUCUCGAAGGUGCUCCUCAACUCUAAGUUUUUGACUCUUCAUCUGUGGAUAAUCAACAUUCUUCAAGACCAUUUUGUUGUGUAUAGCAGAUCUUGCGACUAUCAAAGGUGUACUUUCCGGUGUAGUUCAUGCCGAGCUUGAAAAAGAGCGUGAGCGUUGCAUUUCAGCUUUGUCGAUCUGUUUGAAGCCGAAUAGGAGAUGCCCAAUUUGCUCUCGUGUUUCUUCGUCUUGAUUUCUCAGCUGGAUGCUCUCUUUGGUUUCAGAUAUGGCUCCUUGACUCUCAACUUUUGCUGGUCCCAGUAGUAGUAGUUCCUGUGUAACUUUUUUGCUCCAAAAAUAGAUAGAUACUUCUUUGUAAAUAUUACAGCUGUGGAACCCUAUGACCUCAAUGUUGUUAUUAAUCAUGCUGCUUGUUGUUAUUACUGUAUAUUCUCCUUGUUCUGAUCCUAAGUGUUGGUACCUGAUGCUUAUCAAUAUUAAGAAGCUUUUUUCCUAGACUGGGC